UUGAUAUCACGAGCUUAGACUGGACGGAACAAAGAGAGGAAAGCUGGUCACUUCCGACGGCUCAAUGGCCCGGGAGCUGUGGAUUUGCCUCACUUUCUCUGUUCCAAGCUCUUGACUUCACAGACUGAGUGCUUCCAAGAAAAGCCAUUUCCUUCGAAGACAGAGUCCGGCUUGGGAAAGCCGAGGAGGCGGGAGGGACUUGUGUUCCGGAAUAUUCAAAUUGUGUCAAAAGACAGAGCCACAGCUGGCUGGUGCAGACGAUGGCUACUUCAGAACCCAAAGAUGUCCCAGGUCAAAAAGAAAAGAAACACAAGACUUCCUGUUCGGUGGCUGUCUGCACUGUCAAGGUGAGGUCUACUGAGAGUGUCUCAGAGAUUCAGCAGCCGUGUGACCCAGGGAACACGAAGGAUUUCCUCUUAACUGAGUCAGCAUCCUGGAGGCCAAGGUCAAGGGUAAGUGUGUCUCUGGGACACUUGGAGCUGCAGGGAGCCGCCUGGGGCGUACCUCAUUUGUUGGCAGAUUUAGGUUUUGGGGGGUUACAGUGGCUUAGGGGAAUAGUGACUUCAAAAAGGCCCAGUGCCCCAGUAUGUCCUGCAGGGGGUCACUGAACCAGACACAGCUGCACAAAGCCAUUGUCGUCAGCCUGAGGGUGUAGACCACAGCACAGGGAAAGCAGGAGGCUGGGGCUGGAGUUGGUGUGGCCGCUCGGUCCCAGGACCACGAUUCCUUUUCCCAACCUGUUUUAGUGAAGGAGACUUGAAAGGUAAACUGAGGAGUCAAGACCCCAAGUUAGCCUAGCUGGCCUCUCCUCCUGGCAGGUAAGGCCAGGGGGCACCAACCAGGAGCCAAGCUUACCCUCGGGGGUUAGCACAGUCAGGACUGCCAGUGGGUUACCCUAGUGCAAUUGUUCUCACCCUUCCUAAUGCUGUGACCCUUUAAUACAGUUCAUGUUGAGGUGACCCCACAAUCAUAACAUUAUUUCGUUGUCACUUGUAAUUUGUAAUUGCCACUUUGCAAACUGUAAUUUUGCUGUCAUGAAUUGUAAACAUCUGACAUGCAGGACAUUUGGAAUGUAACCCCGUGAAAGGGUGGGUGGUUCAACCCACCGGCCUGCCCUAGUGUCUGCACCUAACGCGGAUUCAGAAGCCAACCCCAUUCACGCGGGAACAAGCCUGCAGCUAGCGGCCUCUAGUGGCCUGAUGGUCAAAUGACAGCCAGGGGCCACAUCCUCUAUCUGGCAACAGGGAUCCCCUCCAACACAGGCACACAAGAUAAGGGAACUAGGAAAGACAUGGCUCUGAACUAUGGUGCACUGGCAAGGA